AACCUGCCUUUCAGAGGGGGACAACAGUUGGAAACGACUGCUAAUACCGCAUAAUGCAUAGGUAUCGCAUGGUACAGAUGCCAAAGAUUUAUCGCUGAGAGAUGGCCUCGCGUCUGAUUAGCUAGUUGGUAGGGUAACGGCCUACCAAGGCGACGAUCAGUAGCCGGACUGAGAGGUUGGCCGGCCACAUUAGGACUGAGAUACGGCCCAGACUCCUACGGAAGGCAGCAG
rnacentral:rRNA from 1 species